rnacentral:piRNA from 1 species
UGCAACGUAUUGACCUGAAUA